GGCUGCGGAGUGGCGGACGGGUGAGUAACACGUGGGGAACCUACCCAGCAGCGGGGGAUAACACUUGGAAACAGGUGCUAAUACCGCAUAGGACUUUUUUUCGCCUGAAAGGAAGUUAAAAGACGCUUUUUGCGUCACUGCUGGAGGGACCCGCGGUGCAUUAGCCAGUUGGUGAGGUAACGGCUCACCAAAGCAACGAUGCAUAGCCGACCUGAGAGGGUGAUCGGCCACACUGGGACUGAGACACGGCCCAGACUCCUACGGGAGGCAGCAGUAGGGAAUCUUCGGCAAUGGACGCAAGUCUGACCGAGCAACGCCGCGUGAGUGAAGAAGGUUUUCGGAUCGUAAAGCUCUGUUGUCAGCCAAGAACAGGAAAAAGAGGCAAUGCUUUUUCUUUGACGGUAGCUGACCAGAAAGCCACGGCUAACUACGUGCCAGCAGCCGCGGUAAUACGUAGGUGGCAAGCGUUGUCCGGAUUUAUUGGGCGUA
rnacentral:rRNA from 1 species